UUUUUUUGGCCAGUGGGGGCUUGAGCCCCCACUGGUCAUGUGCUGCAUCCGCCUCUGCAUACGAUCCAACAUCACUUGAACGAGUCUCUGGACCUACCGUUGACGUGGUUGACUUGAAAUUAUUUCAUUUCAAGUGACGACUAAAUACAAGUUUCAUUUUUAAAUUAAUCUGAAUGUGAAACAAAUUUUAGUAACUAUUUGCUUUAUUUUCUUUCAAAUUAGAUGAAGAAAUUAAUAGUCGCUGUUUUGUUGGGUGAGCUUUUGGUAAACAAAUCUUGAAGUACGUACUACUAGACGAUUGAAGUUUAAUUACGCUCACUGCAGCUAGUGCUUGAGAGAGCAUACAUAUUUGGUUCACAUGUAUGUAAUAUUUAAGAAAAUCAAUUAAAAGAAAUUAAACAAUGAAGAAGUUAAUAAUACAUAUAAUACUCAAUGAACAAUAUGCAUGACUCGGUCGAGUUGACUUGCUGAGUCCAUGGCCUAAGUGGUCCUCGUUCUUGUCUUAAGCUGCUUAUGCGACCAUCAUCAAUUCAAUGUUCAAUUUUAGACUACAGAACAAAUCAUCAUCAUCAAUUCAAUGUUCAAUUUUAGACUAGAGAACAAAUCUAAACGCGUAAUUGAGUAAGAAUCCAAAUGGUAAAUUAGAAACUUGUCUAUGAUUAUUAUCAACGGUUUAGAUCAAAAUUCCUUUAAAUUAACAACAAGAUUGCCCGCAUAAACAUAAUGUCAAACUUAAUAAUUUUUUAACCCCUUAGUCAAUGAUUCGCACUCAGAAUUAGAUUUUAUUGACUAAUAGAAUUAGAUUGGAUUAGUCUAGAUUAUACAUAGUACUCUCUUAGUUCUGUACAAGAGAGGAUUAAACUCUGUUAAAUUAAAUUUGAAUGAAGUUAUUCGUAGAUAUUUAAUG
rnacentral:lncRNA from 1 species